UGGGGGUGCCGGCCGCUCUGGUGGUGGGCGGGACAGCUGGAAAGACGCGGUUUGCGUCUGUCUCUCAGCAACCAGUAGAGAGAGAGAGAGAGAGAGAGAGCAUAUAGUAUGAUAUUUAUCGGGCUCCUUUCGCGGGGUGGGGGGUAAUUAUCGACAUUUUCUUUAAAAAUAAUUCGCACGAGGAGUUCUCUGACGUCUUGGUUGCUCGCAAGUCUUUUCCUCCACGUCAGCGGGCGCACGGGCCUACUUCUGACCUGGCAGACCGCGGGCCCCAAUUAUGGGGAAUCGUGCCAUCUCCACUCUACCCCUCCCCUUCCGACCCUACAUAGGGCAGGAGGUCGCCAGCUUCCUGCCUUGCGAUGCUCUCUGAGCCUCUCGGGAGCCUCGAGAGGGGCUGGUUAGGUGGGGGAGGGUGGCGCUCUCCCAGGUGCUCGAGGUAAAUAAACCAUGGCGGGAAGGAUUUCCACUUUUACAGAGAAAUAAAUGUCUGGGGUGGAGCUGGUGAGGGCUUCAGGCAGGUGAGCCGUCCGCUUCAUUUAUUUCCUUGCCAUUGCAUUGAUUCCUACUCCAGCGCUGACAUGAAAGACGGUGCCGAGACGCCUCUGGGGGCGUUCUUUAAGAGUUUCCUCAGAAGGAUGGUGCCAAUCCGAAUCUUGAGGAUUAGAAAAUGGUGGCGCUCGUAUUUGGAUGCAGUUGAGUUCCUCCGCCAUCGAUAGAAUAGGAUACUUCCCCGGUAUUUCUCCGAAUCAAAUGUCGUCCCACACAAUCUCCAGGAUAUGCCUAGAGAGUUCUCCCAACCCCACCCGAACGAGCUGUUAGCAGAUCGCUGUCCGCUGUCCGGGACCGCCUAAGUUGUCGUCUGCGGUAGGCAAACUAAGAAGCUUCGGCGGCAUUACAUUACUGCUCCAUAGUGCUCCCAUUUUUUAUUCAGUGAAACCUCUGCUGUCCAUGUAGCCAGGCGAGUUCCUCGGCGGUGGGGUUUGAAUCGGGCAGGAGCGUAGGUCUGAUGUGCUCUGACGCCGAAUUCACUCCGCGAGGAAAUGUAAUAAUUGAGGCACUAUUAGGAACUGUAUGAGGAGUCGUUACAUUGAUACAAUAACACUCUAUCAAGAUUCUUUCUUUCAUUUCAUAGGCAGGGAUGGCUACUUUUUACUGUUCAUCUCUCAUUUAGCAUCCCCAGAGCUCAGAAGCCUAGUGAGAGGUCAUAAUCUAGGAUGCCAGCAUGCGGGGCAUGCUAAGUAGGACCCGUCCCUAGAGGCCCCGACUUAGAGAGAGAUACAGAGAGAGAGAGAGAGAGAGAGAGAGAGAGUUAAGUCUGGGCCUGGCCCAUCUCUGCUCCUGAUUUGGAAGCCAAGUCUGAACUCAUUGGCUACUACUUCCAGCCUCAGUUAUAGGAUGAAUGAACGAGUGGUGAUGCAGUUGGACCAUUUUGUUUGGAAGACAAGCUGCACGGCCGAAUGCACACACACCAACAUCUGAAUCAGGAUCACUCACAUUUAGAUCAAUUACUAAAAUUGAUCAAUAAAGCUCAUAGCACAAAUGCUUCGAUGCCGAUCAUCUAAAUGGGAAUAUGAUCUUCCAAGCGAAGAAGAUACUUUUCCAGUCCUAGAACAUGCUCCGUGGGAAUAAAAGAGAGGGAUCACUGUCAUCUGAUGGCGAAAAGAAGAGCUGUAAUCUACUUGUGCUGAACAAGAAGGAUUUUCUUUGAGAUAAUGCUGAUUAAUGUGGAGUUCUACUUGUCAAAAUCUGGUUCCUUCUUCUUGCUCAAUGUUCACCGUAGAUGUGAUAAUUCCUUUACUAAAUGCAAAUUUUUGUGUUUUCUGCGCUUGAUAAGAGGUAUACUCGACAAAAAAAUAAUGGUUUCAAGUGGAAGACCAGAUUGAACUCUUCCUAGGGUCUUCACAAGCUCGCGGCUCUAUAAGUUCCCCUGUUUAGUAGUACUUCUUGCAGUGCUUAGCAAUCCUUUUACACCAUGCUAACAAUCUCUUAGUUUUUAGUUCCACCCUUUUGAUUCACGUGAGUCUUGUGGGCCAGUCAUAUUCUCCUCUAAAUUCGCAUAUAUCAAAACAAGAAGCUCAUUUCAGUGGCUUCUUGUUCAAACCUCUCGCUCUCUCUCUCUCUAGCUUGCUCCCUCUCAUGACCAUGGAUUCUCCUUUACAGGAUCUCCCUCAUUCUUUGAAACGCUAACUCUCAUGAUUCUCCAUCUCGUUUUUUUUCCUUCAACUUUUUUUUCCACCACAUUUGCAAGGUAAGCAAAGUUAGUUCUACGUUAGUAACCACGAUAAAUUUUCACUAGCUUUUUUGUGUACCGAGGAAAUUAAUAUCCAUGGUUCAUGAUAUUCUCUUGGUGCUAAAAUUAGACCUGCAAAUCUAAGUUAGAUUUGGAAAGAAGGGAAAAGGGAAUUACGCAUAAUCUUGUAGCAAUGAAAGAUGCCAUUUUGUGAGCUUGGGGUGGCUCCGUUUAAACCUUAUGAGGCCAUUCAACAAAAUAUUAAUAUUCAACGAAGACCAUCUUUAUAAAGGUUUCGUGUGAAUUGAGACUUUAUUUAGAGAAGUAUCUUCCAAUUGGUUUGGGAUUAAACCGUUAUGAACAUUACUUAGGUGAGCUACUAAAAUAUUUGAAUAUUUUCCAUACUUGAAUUUCCAUAUUGCAAGGGUUUUAGGUCAAGAUGUAAUUUUUAAAUUGUCCCUUUAUUUUUGCAACAUGUUAAAAGGCACUCUGAUUUCUAACAUUUAAAUCCGUCAUUUUUGCAAGAAUUAUUCUACCCUAUAAACAUGCUCCUGAAUAUUAUCCCCCAACUAAUGUGCCAAUAUUCGCUCUCUUUCUGACUCCCAAUCUCACUCCUCGCCCCUUCGCACCGCAGCAUCUCUCUAAUGUCAAACUAUGAUAUUAAUGGGAAGUCUAAAUUCCAAGACCGAGAUAUUUUUUUUAGAUGUGUGCGUAGAAUAUCACAGCACAAUUGGCCUGAUCGGUCCAAAAAAUACCAUUUUUUUAAUUUUUUUUAUUGGGUCUUAUUUUAGUACAAUCUGAAUUGAGGAAUAUCUGGUCGGAAGGGGCCAAUAUAUUAAACGGUCCCAUAUUUCUAUAGUUUUGUCCUCAAUAUGUCUCCGACCACGUCAACAGACAUUUUUCAUGUCCAUAGUCGGUGAUCUGCUUAUCUUCCAUUUCAUCGCCAAAAUUAAGUAUACACCCCUACCUCCCAAAAAAAUUAAGAAAGAACCCCUGCUCAGAACUUGACAAGAUCGAUGUUUUCAAUCAGAUGCCAGCCUUUGACGACGGGGAGAUUGCGUCUCGGUUACCAUCUUACUGCAGUCAACGAGGAGUGACUUGUCGGAAGGAUGAAGCUGCACGUGGGCUCCUCUUAUCAAUGGCCCGGAGGCCCAGUGAGCGGAUAAGGAUCGCGGUUGGCUGUAUCUGCUUGAGUUGUCCGACUCGCUGGCAGCCGUCUUCUUCCGGAUAUUUCCGACCUCCUCCGCAGCUGUGGCCCUUCUCCGUCUUCCGAAUUUCUUCGCCGCUCUUGGCGGCUUGGUCCAUUCGAAUAAAGAAAUCCAUCCCCGGCUCA
rnacentral:lncRNA from 1 species